rnacentral:rRNA from 1 species
UGAGGAAUUUUCCGCAAUGGGCGAAAGCCUGACGGAGCAAUGCCGCGUGAAGGAUGAAGGCCUGCGGGUUGUAAACUUCUUUUCUCAGAGACGAAGAUCUGACGGUAUCUGAGGAAUAAGCAUCGGCUAACUCUGUGCCAGCAGCCGCGGUAAUACAGAGGAUGCAAGCGUUAUCCGGAAUGAUUGGGCGUAAAGCGUCUGUAGGUGGCUCUCCAAGUCUCCUGUUAAAUCCCAGAGCUUAACUUUGGAUCAGCAUGAGAAACUCGAGAGCUUGAGUACGGUAGGGGCAGAGGGAAUUCCCGGUGUAGCGGUGAAAUGCGUAGAGAUCGGGAAGAACACCGAUGGCGAAAGCACUCUGCUGGGCCGUAACUGACACUGAGAGACGAAAGCUAAGGGAGCG